ACUCCUACGGGAGGCAGCAGUGGGGAAUAUUGGACAAUGGGCGCAAGCCUGAUCCAGCCAUGCCGCGUGAGUGAUGAAGGCCCUCGGGUUGUAAAGCUCUUUCACCGGUGAAGAUAAUGACGGUAACCGGAGAAGAAGCCCCGGCUAACUUCGUGCCAGCAGCCGCGGUAAUACGAAGGGGGCUAGCGUUGUUCGGAUUUACUGGGCGUAAAGCGCACGUAGGCGGACUAUUAAGUCAGGGGUGAAAUCCCGGGGCUCAACCCCGGAACUGCCUUUGAUACUGGUAGUCUUGAGUUCGAGAGAGGUGAGUGGAAUUCCGAGUGUAGAGGUGAAAUUCGUAGAUAUUCGGAGGAACACCAGUGGCGAAGGCGGCUCACUGGCUCGAUACUGACGCUGAGGUGCGAAAGCGUGGGGAGCAAACAGGAUUAGAUACCCCGGUAGUCCCAU
rnacentral:rRNA from 1 species